AAGUCGUAACAAGGUUUCCGUAGGUGAACCUGCGGAGGGAUCAUUACCGAGCUCAUGCCCUUACGGGUAGAUCUCCCACCCUGUGUUAUUAUUACCUUUGUUGCUUUGGCGGGCCGCCAGAUUUCGGUCAGGCUAUCGGCUUCGGCUGGUAAGCGCCCGCCAGAGGACCCCAAACCCUGAAUAUUAGUGUCGUCUGAGUACUAUAUAAUAGUUAAAACUUUCAACAACGGAUCUCUUGGUUCUG
rnacentral:misc_RNA from 1 species